rnacentral:rRNA from 2 species
UCAAGUGAAGAAGCGCAUACGGUGGAUGCCUUGGCAGUCAGAGGCGAUGAAAGACGUGGUAGCCUGCGAAAAGCUUCGGGGAGUCGGCAAACAGACUUUGAUCCGGAGAUGUCUGAAUGGGGGAACCCAGCCAUCAUAAGAUGGUUAUCUUGUACUGAAUACAUAGGUGCAAGAGGCGAACCAGGGGAACUGAAACAUCUAAGUACCCUGAGGAAAAGAAAUCAACCGAGAUUCCCUUAGUAGUGGCGAGCGAACGGGGACUAGCCCUUAAGUGGCUUUGAGAUUAGCGGAACGCUCUGGAAAGUGCGGCCAUAGUGGGUGAUAGCCCUGUACGCGAAAAUCUCUUAGUCAUGAAAUCGAGUAGGACGGAGCACGAGAAACUUUGUCUGAAUAUGGGGGGACCAUCCUCCAAGGCUAAAUACUACUGACUGACCGAUAGUGAACUAGUACCGUGAGGGAAAGGCGAAAAGAACCCCGGAGAGGGGAGUGAAAUAGAUCCUGAAACCGUAUGCGUACAAGCAGUGGGAGCCCACUUUGUUGGGUGACUGCGUACCUUUUGUAUAAUGGGUCAGCGACUUAUUUUCAGUGGCGAGCUUAACCGAAUAGGGGAGGCGUAGCGAAAGCGAGUCUUAAUAGGGCGUCUAGUCGCUGGGAAUAGACCCGAAACCGGGCGAUCUAUCCAUGGGCAGGUUGAAGGUUGGGUAACACUAACUGGAGGACCGAACCGACUACCGUUGAAAAGUUAGCGGAUGACCUGUGGAUCGGAGUGAAAGGCUAAUCAAGCUCGGAGAUAGCUGGUUCUCCUCGAAAGCUAUUUAGGUAGCGCCUCAUGUAUCACUGUAGGGGGUAGAGCACUGUUUCGGCUAGGGGGUCAUCCCGACUUACCAAACCGAUGCAAACUCCGAAUACCUACAAGUGCCGAGCAUGGGAGACACACGGCGGGUGCUAACGUCCGUCGUGAAAAGGGAAACAACCCAGACCGUCAGCUAAGGUCCCAAAGUUAUGGUUAAGUGGGAAACGAUGUGGGAAGGCUUAGACAGCUAGGAGGUUGGCUUAGAAGCAGCCACCCUUUAAAGAAAGCGUAAUAGCUCACUAGUCGAGUCGGCCUGCGCGGAAGAUGUAACGGGGCUCAAACCAUACACCGAAGCUACGGGUAUCACGUAAGUGAUGCGGUAGAGGAGCGUUCUGUAAGCCUGUGAAGGUGAGUUGAGAAGCUUGCUGGAGGUAUCAGAAGUGCGAAUGCUGACAUGAGUAACGACAAUGGGUGUGAAAAACACCCACGCCGAAAGACCAAGGUUUCCUGCGCAACGUUAAUCGACGCAGGGUUAGUCGGUCCCUAAGGCGAGGCUGAAAAGCGUAGUCGAUGGAAAACAGGUUAAUAUUCCUGUACUUCUGGUUAUUGCGAUGGAGGGACGGAGAAGGCUAGGCCAGCUUGGCGUUGGUUGUCCAAGUUUAAGGUGGUAGGCUGAGAUCUUAGGUAAAUCCGGGAUCUUAAGGCCGAGAGCUGAUGACGAGCUAACUUUUAGUUAGCGAAGUGGUUGAUGCCAUGCUUCCAAGAAAAGCUUCUAAGCUUCAGGUAACCAGGAACCGUACCCCAAACCGACACAGGUGGUUGGGUAGAGAAUACCAAGGCGCUUGAGAGAACUCGGGUGAAGGAACUAGGCAAAAUGGCACCGUAACUUCGGGAGAAGGUGCGCCGGUGAGGGUGAAGGACUUGCUCCGUAAGCUCAUGCCGGUCGAAGAUACCAGGCCGCUGCGACUGUUUAUUAAAAACACAGCACUCUGCAAACACGAAAGUGGACGUAUAGGGUGUGACGCCUGCCCGGUGCCGGAAGGUUAAUUGAUGGGGUUAGCUAACGCGAAGCUCUUGAUCGAAGCCCCGGUAAACGGCGGCCGUAACUAUAACGGUCCUAAGGUAGCGAAAUUCCUUGUCGGGUAAGUUCCGACCUGCACGAAUGGCGUAACGAUGGCGGCGCUGUCUCCACCCGAGACUCAGUGAAAUUGAAAUCGCUGUGAAGAUGCAGUGUAUCCGCGGCUAGACGGAAAGACCCCGUGAACCUUUACUAUAGCUUUGCACUGGACUUUGAAUUUGCUUGUGUAGGAUAGGUGGGAGGCUUUGAAGCGUGGACGCCAGUUCGCGUGGAGCCAUCCUUGAAAUACCACCCUGGCAACUUUGAGGUUCUAACUCAGGUCCGUUAUCCGGAUCGAGGACAGUGUAUGGUGGGUAGUUUGACUGGGGCGGUCUCCUCCUAAAGAGUAACGGAGGAGUACGAAGGUGCGCUCAGACCGGUCGGAAAUCGGUCGUAGAGUAUAAAGGCAAAAGCGCGCUUGACUGCGAGACAGACACGUCGAGCAGGUACGAAAGUAGGUCUUAGUGAUCCGGUGGUUCUGUAUGGAAGGGCCAUCGCUCAACGGAUAAAAGGUACUCCGGGGAUAACAGGCUGAUACCGCCCAAGAGUUCAUAUCGACGGCGGUGUUUGGCACCUCGAUGUCGGCUCAUCACAUCCUGGGGCUGAAGCCGGUCCCAAGGGUAUGGCUGUUCGCCAUUUAAAGUGGUACGCGAGCUGGGUUUAGAACGUCGUGAGACAGUUCGGUCCCUAUCUGCCGUGGACGUUUGAGAUUUGAGAGGGGCUGCUCCUAGUACGAGAGGACCGGAGUGGACGAACCUCUGGUGUUCCGGUUGUCACGCCAGUGGCAUUGCCGGGUAGCUAUGUUCGGAAUAGAUAACCGCUGAAAGCAUCUAAGCGGGAAACUAGCCUCAAGAUGAGAUCUCACUGGAACCUUGAGUUCCCUGAAGGGCCGUCGAAGACUACGACGUUGAUAGGUUGGGUGUGUAAGCGCUGUGAGGCGUUGAGCUAACCAAUACUAAUUGCCCGUGAGGCUUGACCAU